CCCUUAGAUGUUCUGGGCUGCACGCGUGUUACAAUCGGGAGUACAACAAGAUUGCAAAUCCUAGUGGAUGAGUGGUUCUUCGAAAUUUUCUGAAGACUGGGAUAGUUGAUUGAAAUUAUUCAACUCAAACGAGGAAUUCCUUGUAAUUGUAAUUCAUUAUAUUGUAAUGAAUACGUCCCUGCCCUUUGUACACACCGCCCGUCGCUCCUACCGAUUGAACGAUUCGGUGAAUUAUUUGGAGUAGCUCUGGAAGUUGCAGAACUUCCUAUGUCACGAAAUUUUGUAAACCUUAUCGUUUAGAGGAAGGAAAAGUCGUAACA
rnacentral:rRNA from 1 species